rnacentral:rRNA from 1 species
UACCAAGAAAUCGAGUCAUAUAGAUGUAUGGUGAAAAGACAGUUAGGUGUCGAAAAGGGGGUUAUUUAAUGUAGUGUAUAGGGGUAAAAUCUGAGUAUAGUUUUUAUAAAUCUAAGAUAGCUUAUUAGGCUGAGUCUGUGAAAUCCUUGAGGGAAACUGGGAUUAGGUACCCUAUUAUUCUUGGAUGUAAAUGAAAGUAAUUUACCGGGGUACUAUGAAUUUGUAGGUUUAAAACCCAAAGGACUUGGCGGUGUUUUAGACCAUUUAGGGGAACCUGUCUCGUAAUCGACAAUCCACGUUGCACCUGACCUUUUUUUGUUUUCAGCUUGUAUACCGUUGUCGUCAGGUAACUUUUUAGAAUAUAAAAGUUGGCUAAAUAAAUAAAGUAGUUUAAUACGUCAAAUCAAGGUGCAGCUAAUGGAAAGGGGAGGAUGGGUUACAGUUAUAUAUUUAUAAUAACGGACAGCUAUGUGUAAGUGUAGGCUGUGAAGGAGGACUUAAAAGUAAAUUGAGAUAUGAGAAUAAUUUGAAUGAGGCUCUGAGACGUGU